rnacentral:snRNA from 1 species
AUUGCUUCUCAACCUUUUGGCUAAGAUCAAGUGUAGCAUUUGUUCUUAACAGUUUAAAGUUUUUUUGAGCAAAGAACAAUUUGUAAAUCAGGCAGCCUCC